GGUGGUGCAUGGUUGUCGUCAGCUCGUGUCGUGAGAUGUUGGGUUAAGUCCCGCAACGAGCGCAACCCUUAAGCUUAGUUGCCAUCAUUAAGUUGGGCACUCUAGGUUGACUGCCGGUGACAAACCGGAGGAAGGUGGGGAUGACGUCAAAUCAUCAUGCCCCUUAUGAUUUAGGCUACACACGUGCUACAAUGGACAAUACAAAGGGCAGCUAAACCGCGAGGUCAUGCAAAUCCCAUAAAGUUGUUCUCAGUUCGGAUUGUAGUCUGCAACUCGACUACAUGAAGCUGGAAUCGCUAGUAAUCGUAGAUCAGCAUGCUACGGUGAAUACGUUCCCGGGUCUUGUACACACCGCCCGUCACACCACGAGAGUUUGUAACACCCGAAGCCGGUGGAGUAACCAUUUAUGGAGCUAGCCGUCGAAGGUGGGACAAAUGAUUGGGGUGAAGUCGUAACAAGGUAGCCGUAUCGGAAGGUGCGGUUGGAUCACCUC
rnacentral:rRNA from 1 species